rnacentral:tRNA from 1 species
GGCUGGAUGGCAGAGUGGCUAUGCAGCGGCCUGCAAAGCCGUUUACGCCGGUUCGAUUCCGGCUUCAGCCUCCA